rnacentral:rRNA from 1 species
UACGUAGGUGGCGAGCGUUGUCCGGAUUUACUGGGCGUAAAGAGCGCGCAGGCGGUCGUACAAGUCGCGUGUGAAAGCCCCCGGCUCAACUGGGGAGGGUCACGCGAUACUGAUCGACUCGAAGGCAGGAGACGGGUAGUGGAAUUCUCGGUGUAGCGGUGAAAUGCGUAGAUAUCGAGAGGAACACCUGCGGCGAAGGCGGGUUGCUGGGCUGACACUGACGCUGAUG